rnacentral:rRNA from 1 species
GACGUAGGGGCGAGCGUUGUCCGGAUUUAUUGGGCGUAAAGCGCGCGUAGGCGGCCGCGCAAGUCGGAUGUGAAACCCGGGGCUCAACCCCGGCGUGCAUUCGAUACUGCGCGGCUCGAGACAGGUAGGGGAGAUCGGAAUUCCUGGUGUAGCGGUGAAAUGCGCAGAUAUCAGGAGGAACACCGAUUGCGAAGGCAGCUCGCUGGGACGUAACUGACGCUGAGACGCGAAAGCGUGGGGAGCAAACAGG